AAGGGCACCACAAGAACGCGUGGAGCAUGUGGCUUAAUUUGACUCAACGCGGGAAAUCUUACCGGGUCCGGACAUACUGAGGAUUGACAGGCGCAUGUAAAAAAAAAAAAGAAAAAUUCUUUUUUCUUUUUUUUUUUUACUAUAAAUAUGCUAGUCCUUUCAUGAUUGUGUGAUAGGUGGUGCAUGGCCGUUCUUAGUUCGUGGAGUGAUCUGUCUGCUUAAUUGCGUUUCAGAAAAUAGGUUCUUAGAGGUUUUGAUAUAUAGUUUGUGACCUUAGUUUUUAUUUUUUUUUUCGAAAAAAAUUAAAACUAUGUUUGUUACGCUGUAUUCAGCCCCUGAACCUUGAAGGUAACGAACGUGACCGCAACCUCUUGUUGCCUUUCUUUCGUCUUAUUAGAACGAACUACUGCCUCGUGAUUUUUUCUGUUUUGAAAAAUAAACAGAAGUCAUGGGGAUUAGUAGAGUGGAGCGCAAACUAGAGGGACCGCCGACCUUUUUAAAACGGAGGAAGGUUGCGGCAAUAACAGGUCUGUGAUGCCCUUAGAUGUUCCGGGCUGCACACGUGCUACAAUGAUUGUUGCAGUGAGCAUCUUAAAAGUUCGUGCAGCAAAUUAAAUUUUUUCUUUGGAAAUUUUUUAAUUUUGCUGUUUAACGACAUACCUACUUCGAAAGUAAGUAGGUAAUCAAUUCGAAGUAACGAUUUCCUUUGCACAGUUAAAAUAUCUCAAAAAAAAUUUUUAUUUUUUUUUAAAAAUAUUUUUUUUUUUUGAGAUGUGCUCCAUUCAAUUCAUGGUGGGGACAGACCAUUGAAAUUGUUGGUCUCGCUCUUAACUAGGAAUGCCUUGUACGGGUCAUGGUUCAACAGACCACCCGGAAUAUGUCCCUGCCCUUUGUACACACCGCCCGUCGCUCUUACCGAUGGACUUCUCUGUGAGUUUGAGGGACUGGCUUUUUUGCUAUGGAAACUCCAACGAACAGUGUGGUCUAAAGGAAAGAGAAGUCGAACAAGGCA
rnacentral:rRNA from 1 species